UUUUGGGUCGAGUAAUUAUACAUCCACAGGAAGAGAAGGGCAUACUGCCAAAGCUUUUCAAGUGCUAUCUCAGCAAUGCAAAAGACUUGGCAUUUCCCACUGUCAUUUUUCAUUCUCAAAGUGCAAUAAACAUAUGCUGAAGAAAAUAUUUCAAGUACCUGGGAAGGGAAGAGCAGCCCAGUACACUAUCAGCUCUACUCUACUGGACAUUCUUCAUUAUUUUGCUAAAUGAAGACGUCAUUAGAAACUAGUACUGACCUAGUGUCAAUGGUUUACAGGCGUUAGGCCCGAUUCUGUGACAAAGGGGACAGGGGACCCACGGGCCCAUGUCCCAGGGAAAGGGAAAAAGGGUAGGGAGAUGGCCCUGAGAGCAAAGAACAGCGGCAACAAUCUGAGGAGAAACAAACUAAUUUACUAAAUAAGAUAUCGGAAUGCGAAACAACACACUAUAAUAUAAUAUAAUUACAAUUUAAGCUGAUAAAUCCAAUACAGAGAGAGAGAAUGUCCCAAAAUCAAGGUAGGCCUUACUCUACUACCGACGAUAAGACGGCUGGAGAGCGAGGUGCUGCCAAGACGAGAGACGGCGGGAAAAGGGAUGAGGUCUCGUGAUCUGCAAGUUUUUAUACUGCGAGCUUUUAUCUUUUCCCUCUGGCUGGAAAAUGGUAACAGAGGAGCAAAGUGCCAUGGGGAAUGUAGUAGUCCUUCUCUUCUGAGAACCAGGUACAUUCACUACAUGAUGUUAUGAUGUAGAGUACCAAUAACCAAAAAUCAUAAAACCAUGACACCUAGGUAGCUAUCACAGAAAGAAUUAUCCUUUUUGUUACUGUUGCACAGAUGUACCAUAUUUCUCCAUCAUCUAUUUUUUAGUAAUCAGAAUAAGGCAAGUAAUCCUCCAGCGUUACAUAGCAGACACCAUACAAACUGCUGUGUUUCAAGAGAACAAGUUUUAAAGUCCAGUCUUCAGUUUUCUUAAUCUGUUCUCAUGUUUAGUCCAGGAAACAGAAUGAGGAAAGAGAUGAGUAUAUUGCUGCAGUUUAGUACCAGUGUUUCCAUCGACCUGUGUGGAUUCAGCAAGAAAUGUCCCAAGAAACAAUGGAACAGAGGAUGGAAAACAACAGUGACAUCCACCUUUGUGCCAGGCAUAGUGCCAGUACUCCCGAGCCACACAGGCACCUGUUUCCAACCUCGCAUUCGUGCUUGUAAGUGAAGACAUGCUCAUUGACGUAUAUUAACAAUUUCUCCCCCAAACAAUUUUAAAAACAACUUCCACUUUUAUUUUCAAUUAUGUUACUUCUCAUUUAGGCAUAUCUGAAUCUCCA
rnacentral:lncRNA from 1 species